UCCUCUUCCGACUCUUCCUAAUUUCAACUUUGUAAGUCUUUGAACUUUUCAAUCAUGCAUCUUACCUUCAUGCUGGAAGAUCAUGAAUCUUACCAUCUCAUCCUCUCAUGCUUCAAGUUUUCUCAGUCGGGACAAGACUACAAUAACUGUAUGGUAGGUGGAUCUUCACCUGGCCAAGCAAGUCCAGUGACACCCACUACGGUUCAUGUCGCUUCGACCUCCCUGCAACAAUGAUCACUUGAGGUAGUCGUCCAUGUUUGUCCAUUGUUGAUGCUUGCGUCUUCUCGUUGCUUGUGCUUCUGAACUUAAAACUUGUGCAUUGUUGAAUGUAGAGUCCACAAGUGUUGAUGCUUAUAUUGUACAUACUUCCUAGCUUCUAUUUUGAGCCUCAUAUGUUGAUGCUUGUUGACUCUUUUGCCUUAUCCAUCUUUGCAACUUAACUUGAGAAACUCAUGCGUGUGAUAAUGGACUUAUAGGUUUGCAUUGUGGAUGGCGUUGACGGUGGGCAUAUAUGCUGCGGUGGAGCUCAUUGCAUGGUUCAUGCUUGGUGUGAACUUGGAACUCAUGAUCCUUUAAUUUGUGAACCUCUGGUUGCAUAUGUAUGUAUGUUGUUGUGAAUCUUCGUUGGAUAUGUAUGCACUGUGUGGACCUGAAACUUACGGUCCUUUCCUUUGUGAUCUUUUGUUGCAUACGUAUGCAUAUGUGGACUUUGCACUCAUGUACGGCUGGAUAUAUGUAUUACUGGAUAUAUGUUUGUUGGUCAUGGUCAUGUACUGCUGGAU
rnacentral:lncRNA from 1 species